GACGAACGCUGGCGGCGUGCCUAAUACAUGCAAGUCGAGCGCAGGAAAUCAUCCGAACCCUUCGGGGGGACGUUGAUGGAAUGAGCGGCGGACGGGUGAGUAACACGUAAAGAACCUGCCCUUAGGUCUGGGAUAACCACGAGAAAUCGGGGCUAAUACCGGAUGGGCCAUCGGACCGCAUGGUCCGAGGAUGAAAGGCGCUUCGGCGUCGCCUGGGGAGUGCUUUGCGGUGCAUUAGCUAGUUGCUGGGGGAAUGGCCCACCAAGGCGACGAUGCAUAGCCGACCUGAGAGGGUGAUCGGCCACACUGGGACUGAGACACGGCCCAGACUCCUACGGGAGGCAGCAGUAGGGAAUCUUCCACAAUGGACGAAAGUCUGAUGGAGCAACGCCGCGUGAACGAUGAAGGCCUUCGGGUCGUAAAGUUCUGUUGUAAGGGAAGAACAAGUGCCGCAGGCAAUGGCGGCACCUUGACGGUACCUUGCGAGAAAGCCACGGCUAACUACGUGCCAGCCGCCGCAGUAAUAC
rnacentral:rRNA from 1 species